UGGUGUGGAGGGAUGUCAUUUACGCCCCCUCGCACCAGAGAGGUUUUUAUGGCCUCUGCAAUGCACCUGUUGCUGUUGGUGACACUCAAUGGCAAACCCAGACCUCUGUAGUUUCAGCCCUACCUCUCCCAGAAAAAAAAGGCCAAGUAGCCCUGGGCUAAGUACUGCAGAGAUUGACAGCUACUAAAACCGUCUUAUUCCACACUGCUGAAAAUGAGGCUGCAGGCUGAGGACUCCACCAAUCCACCUGUCAAUCUCACGCUCCAUUAUACCAUCACUCGUGAACAAGAUCCCGGGAUACUUUCUUUGCUUGGGGCAGCAGCUUACUCCCAGGGAGCAAUCCACUGUUUUCCAGCAGAGAACCAUGGCCUCAGACCUUGGAGGUGCUGACUCUCACCCUGGCCAUUUCAGGCUCGGCUGCAAACUGCCCCAGUGCUUGCUGAAGACUACGGUCUGAUGAAGCCAACUGAACCACAUCAUCUGCAAAGAGCAGAGACACAAUUUCGGAAGUUACUCUCCUCACACCGGCACCUCGGCCUCUGCUUUGAUGUUGACCACAAUCUAUCUCUUGUG